rnacentral:SRP_RNA from 1 species
GCCGGGCGCGGUGGCUCAAGCCUGUAAUCCCAGCACUUUGGGAGGCCGAGACGGGCGGAUCACGAGGUCAGGAGUUCGAGACCAUCCUGGCUAACCCGGUGAAACCCCGUCUCUACUAAAAAAUACAAAAAACUAGCCGGGCGAGGUGGCGGGCGCCUGUGGNNNNNNNNNNCCACAGGCGCCCGCCACCUCGCCCGGCUAGUUUUUUGUAUUUUUUAGUAGAGACGGGGUUUCACCGGGUUAGCCAGGAUGGUCUCGAACUCCCGACCCCAGGUGAUCCACCCACCUCAGU